GAUGAACGCUGGCGGCGUGCUUAACACAUGCAAGUCGAGCGAAGCACUUUUGCGGAUUUCUUCGGAUUGAAGCAACUGUGACUGAGCGGCGGACGGGUGAGUAACGCGUGGGUAACCUGCCUCAUACAGAGGGAUAACAGUUGGAAACGGCUGCUAAUACCGCAUAAGCGCACAGUACCGCAUGGUACGGUGUGAAAAACUCCGGUGGUAUGAGAUGGACCCGCGUCUGAUUAGGUAGUUGGUAGGGUAACGGCCUACCAAGCCGACGAUCAGUAGCCGACCUGAGAGGGUGACCGGCCACAUUGGGACUGAGACACGGCCCAAACUCCUACGGGAGGCAGCAGUGGGGAAUAUUGCACAAUGGGGGAAACCCUGAUGCAGCGACGCCGCGUGAGCGAUGAAGUAUUUCGGUAUGUAAAGCUCUAUCAGCAGGGAAGAAAAUGACGGUACCUGACUAAGAAGCCCCGGCUAACUACGUGCCAGCAGCCGCGGUAAUACGUAGGGGGCAAGCGUUAUCCGGAUUUACUGGGUGUAAAGGGAGCGUAGACGGCAUGGCAAGCCAGAUGUGAAAGCCCGGGGCUCAACCCCGGGACUGCAUUUGGAACUGUCAGGCUAGAGUGUCGGAGAGGAAAGCGGAAUUCCUAGUGUAGCGGUGAAAUGCGUAGAUAUUAGGAGGAACACCAGUGGCGAAGGCGGCUUUCUGGACGAUG
rnacentral:rRNA from 1 species